rnacentral:lncRNA from 1 species
GAGAGCAUCCCAGGACCACUGAACAUUCAGAGGGCUGGAGGCAGAGAAAAACUUCCCCUACUCAAGAAAAAGAAGCUAUUUUUGUCAAGUUAAAUGAGCCUGAACCUGCAGAGCUGAAUUGGCAGAUGAAUAUUGCUAAUUGGUGCAGUUUCUUCGGUGCAGGAAAGAGUUUCCAAUCAGACCGGCAAUUCAUUGGCCACAUGAAGAUGCUGUGCUAGGGCCUGGGCAAAGCCAGACAAGAAGUGGUUCCUGCUAUCAGGCUGACUAACAUCUAUCAGAAAGAACAGAUCACGACUCAGCCUGCCUGCACCCAGGUGAAAUAAACAGCAUUUUUGCUCACACAUAGCCUGUUUGGUGGUCUCUUCACAUGGAUGCGCAUGAAAUUUGGUGCUGUGACUCGGAUCCGGAGACCUCCCUUGGGAGAUAAAAUCCCCUGUCCUCCUGCUCUUUGCUCCGUGAAAAAGAUCCACCUACGACCUCAAGUCCUCAGACCCACCAGCCCAAGGAACAUCUCACCAAUUUUAAAUCAGCAAAAUGACAUGAAUGACUGAAAAAGCAUGUGGAGCACAAGACUCAAGAACU